rnacentral:rRNA from 1 species
UGGGCUUGACAUACACCAGACCGGGCCAGAGAUGGUCUUUCCCUUUGUGGUUGGUGUACAGGUGGUGCAUGGUUGUCGUCAGCUCGUGUCGUGAGAUGUUGGGUUAAGUCCCGCAACGAGCGCAACCCUUGUCUUAUGUUGCCAGCACGUGAUGGUGGGGACUCAUGAGAGACUGCCGGGGUUAACUCGGAGGAAGGUGGGGAUGACGUCAAAUCAUCAUGCCCCUUAUGUCCAGGGCUUCACACAUGCUACAAUGGUCGGUACAACGCGUUUGCGAGCCUGUGAGGGUGUGCUAAUCGCUGAAAGCCGGCCUUAGUUCGGAUUGGGGUCUGCAACUCGACCCCAUGAAGUCGGAGUCGCUAGUAAUCGCAGAUCAGCAACGCUGCGGUGAAUACGUUCCCGGGCC